GGGAAGGUGGCUCAGUGGUAGAGUGCUUGCCUCGAAUGCAUGAAGCCCUUGGUUCAAUUCCUCAGUACCA
rfam:Dipodomys ordii contig_22927, whole genome shotgun sequence.